ensembl:lncRNA
CCUCUCUGCUCUCCAACAAGAUGUCAUGCUCCUUGAUGACGAGAGCCACCGCUGAUCUCCUAUAUCCAGUCAACAUCUUCCAGAAAACAGACCAUCAAUAUGCAUUUGCAGCAUAUAUUUGAAUACACACAGGCUGCUUCCUGGAGGAAAGGAAGGUGCUUGGUUAACUUGAAAGACAAAGAAGGAUGUGGAGCACUGAAGAGCAGAAAGAAACUGAAGCAGCAGGGCGGAGGAAAAAGAACACAGGAGAGCAUGUAAUUCCAGCACUUUGGGAGGCUGAGGCACGUGGAUCAUUUGACGUCAGGAGUUCGAGACUAGUCUGGCCAACAUGGUGAAAACCCAUCUCUACGAAAAAAAAAAAAAAAUUAUUUGGGCAUGGUGGCAGCCACAUAUAAUCCCAGCUAGUUACUCGGGAGGCUGAGGCAGGAGAAUUGCCUGAACCUGGGAAACAGAGGUUGCAGUGAGCUUAGAUUGUGCCAUUACACUCCAGCCUGGGCAAUAGAGUAAGAUGUCUCAAAAAACAAACAAACAAACAAAAAUAACACAGAGAAGAGUAUGGAACCCCACAGAAAUGCUUCACCUGCAGCUUCAUUGGCUUGGGUUGUAUUUAGUAACAAAUAUUUUGAAACUUGCCUCUUAUAUGUGCAUUUAGUUUCCAUUUUGAGUCUCUUAAAGGCAAAUAAAAGAAACUCAAGAGUCAAAGAUUUUUGAAACACUGGUCAGAGGUGUGUUAUUAAAGCAUAGGCAGCACUGGAAAAAAAUGAGGGGGCUGAAAAGGGGCAGAGGGCUGGUGCUCAGAAUGACAGCCAGCUCCAGACCAGUCCCGCAUAAGGACCUGCAGUCAGUCCUCUUAUGAGGUCUGUAGCGCCACAAAUGUUUUUAAAGUACCUACAGCGUGCCAGGCUUUGUGCAAUGGGACUACAGAGUCACAUCAGAUAUAGUCUCAGUCCUUUAAGAAAUCCAAUUUAAUGUGGGAGAAAUAGAUACACAACAGGAGCUCAUUAAAUAAUGUAUCUGCAUAGGGAGGGAAUGAAUUGAGUAUAAAUAAUAGAAUCUCAUAGAAGUGUGUAGGAAUUGCCAAGGAAGCACAGGGAAAGAACCAAAUCAUGUCAACAGCUUUUUCUCAGAACAGGUGGCAUUUGAUCCAAGGUUUUAAGAAUGGAUGUGGAUGUGACAUCAGCAAAAAUGGUAGAGUAAAGAUCUCAGAAAGUCUUCUCCAUCAAUCAAUGAAAACACUGUCAUGAAUGAAUGAAAAAAAUGUCAGAAUCAAAAUUUAGAAUGCUGGAAAUUAAUCACAUGUUGUAGUCAUCUGGGGAGGGUUUAUUUAAGAACAAUGGUUGAAUCUCAGUAAGAACGGUGAGCAUUCCUGUGUUUUUCUUAUUCUAUUGCCCUUCUCAUCACCCUGGCAUUGCAGUAGCCUUGUAAACCCACAUUCUCUGGCCAUGGUGAAAACCAGAAUUCUAGUAGGCACUGGAGGAGGCAUAACGGAGUUGGAAAUUCUUCAAAAUCCCAUUCUCAGAGAAUUGUCAUUAGACUAGUCUAGUGGAUGAUUGUCCUUGUUUGACCUGACUCGGAGCUUACUUGUACAAACUGCCUUUCCUUGAAGAGACUAUUUAUCAAAAACAAUCAGCAGCAACUUGAUUGAUUAACAUUGCAUCUGCUGGAGGCAGUAAAUAGCAGUUAAGGCAAGCCAUAGGCUAAUCAGAAAACAAAAGAAAAAUCUGGGGAAUUAGAUAUUCAUCAGGGGCUCUAAAACAUGCUUACAUAUUCCUUGAAAUCUAGACCUUCAUGCACUGUGCCUUAUAUAUAAUUAAAAAUAUGAUUUCCUGAUGGGACUAGCACAUUUUAGAAGCUCAAUAGCCACACCUGACCACGAUACUGGAUAGCACAGAAAUUUCCACCAUCUCAGAAUGAAAGUCCAAGUUCUACUGGGCAUCGGUGGUAAGGAGAGAGAUGACUUGAAGAGAAGAAGGAGAUCAGGGGAAGGAUAAAGGAGUCUGAAAGGUUUCCGAAUUUUAAAAGUCCUCUCAAUUCCAAAACCUUCUGAAAAUUAUUCAACAAUCUUUACUGAGUGCCUCUUUACUUAUGUCUACUAAGGAUCUUGAAAAAGAGGCUGGAAAAUGAGGACUGUUAACUGCUUUAUUGAUUGGUUCAUUAUGUGUUGAGCAGCAACUCAUCUAGGAACUAUGCUAGGUGCACAGUACAAAAUGAUAAACAGAACUAGAAUGUUAUCUCUUCUCAAGAAGCUUACAUUCAAAUGGAAGAGGGACAGAUAUUGAUGAGGAAUGACAUGAGUAAAUAUAAAAUUACAGCUGUGAGAAUCACUUUGAUGGGGAAGUAUUGAGAACAAUGAGUGCAUAGAAGAGGUGUGCUUGAUCUAGUCUGGAGCACAUUUCCUAAGGAAGUGGACUAAUACAGAUUGGAUGUUUGACCCCUUCAAAUCUCUUGUUGAAAUGAAAUCCCCAAUGUUGGAGUUGGGGCCUCGUGGAAGGUGUUUGGAUCAGGGAGGUGGAUCCUUCCUGAAUGGCUCAGUGCUGUCCUCAUAGUAAUGAAUGACCUGGUAAUGUGCUCACUCUGAGUUCAUGUGAGAUCUUGUUGUUUAAAAGAAACUGGCAUCUCCUCCCUCUUGCCAUGGGACGUACUGGCUCCCCUUUAUCUGUCACCGUAAUUGGAAGCUUCCUGAGGCCCUCACCAGGAGUCGAUGCCGGCACUAUGAUUUGUGUACAGCCUGCAGAACUGUGACCUCUUUUCUUUGUAAAUUACCCAGCCUCAGGUAUUCCUUGAUACCAAUGCAAAUGGACUAACACAUGGACCCUGAGCUAAUAUUUAAAAGAGUAGAUUAAGUAAAAGGAGAAGAAAAAUCCAGCCCAGAGAAACAGCAUGCACACAGACCCUGGGGCAGGAGAAAACAUGAAAAGAAAGAGAAGCUGAGUGUGGAACAUCCCAGAAAGUGAGGAAGAGCCAGGUCGAAAGUGAGGCUAGAAUGAUAGAGACACUAUUCUCUGUACAGGCAGCAUCAGGAUCAGCUGGGAACUUACUAACAAUGCAAAAUCGCACACUCCAUUACAAAUUUUGUUUUUUUUUUCAGACAGAGUUUCUCUCUUGUCACCCAGGCUAGAGUGCAGUGACACAAUCUCAGCUCAUUGCAACCUCCACCUCCUGGGUUCAACUGAUUCUCAGCUCCCAAGUACUGGGAUUACAGGCCAGCACCAGCAUGUCUGAAUAA